CCUACGGGGGGCUGCAGUGGGGAAUAUUGGACAAUGGGGGGAACCCUGAUCCAGCGACGCCGCGUGAGUGAAGUAGUAUUUCGGUAUGUAAAGCUCUAUCAGCAGGGAAGAAAAUGACGGUACCUGACUAAGAAGCCCCGGCUAACUACGUGCCAGCAGCCGCGGUAAUACGUAGGGGGCAAGCGUUAUCCGGAUUUACUGGGUGUAAAGGGAGCGCAGGCGGGGCAGCAAGUCAGAUGUGAAAGGUAGGGGCUUAACCUGUGGACUGCAUUUGAAACUGGUGUACUGGAGUAAAGGAGAGGUAAGCGGAAUUCCGAGUGUAGCGGUGAAAUGCGUAGAUAUUCGGAGGAACACCAGUGGCGAAGGCGGCCAACUGGACUUUAACUGACGCUGAGGCUCGAAAGUGUGGGGAGCAAACAGGAUUAGAUACCCGUGUAGUC
rnacentral:rRNA from 1 species